rnacentral:lncRNA from 1 species
GUUUUAGGGUUUAGAUUUGAAGGUUUAAGGUUUACGUUUAGGGUUUAGAGUUGAUGUUUUAGGAUUUAGAUUUGAAGGUUUAGGGUUCGAAUUUCAGAAAAAUAUAGGGUUUAGGGUUUACAUUUAGGGUUUACAUUUAGGGUUUAGAGUUGAUGUUUUAGGGAUUAGAUUUGAAGGUUUAGAGUUUAGGGUUUAGGGUUUAGAGUUGAUGUUUCAUGGUUUAGGGUUUAGAGUUGAUGUUUCAUGGGUUUAGAGUUGAUGUUUUAAGUUUUAGAUUUAGGGUUUAGGGUUUAUGUUUAGGGUUUAGAGUUGAUGUUUUAGGGUUUAGAUUUGAAGGUUUAGGGUUUAGAGUUUAGAGUUGAUGUUUCGGGGUUUAGGGUUUGUAAUUGAUGUUUCAUGGUUUAGGGUUUAGAGUUGAUGAUUUAGGGUUUAGAGUUGAUGUUUUAAGUUUAGAUUAGUUAACCGUAUGUUUUUUUUUUGUCAAAAUUAAUCAAAAUGUUAUAAAUGUUUUUUACCUUUCAUUAAAAAUAAGGGUAAAAUUGGUUAGUGUAAACAUGAAAAGUGGUACUUUGAAAAUUGUAUUUUUGGCAAUUUUACAAGAUUUUAGUUGAAACUUAAGAAUAUUGACUAUUCAUCACUUUCUGUUAAUUUUAAUAAUAAAUAAACAACAAAGAGCGAGGGUUGAUUGGUUAUUCUGUAGUUUUUGUUUAUGUUUUUACUUUAGAAAAUAAGCUGUGAAUUGUUUUGCUUCGGCUUUAAUUGUUUU